GACGAACGCUGGCGGCGUGCCUAACACAUGCAAGUCGAACGGGACCGGGGGCAACUCCGGUUCAGUGGCGGACGGGUGCGUAACACGUGAGGAACAUGACCUUCGGCGGGGGAUAGCCGGCCCAACGGCCGGGUAAUACCGCGUACGACCAUUCGGGGACAUCCCUGGAUGGUGAAAGCAGCAAUGCGCCGAUGGAGUGCCUCGCGGCCUAUCAGCUAGUUGGUGGGGUAACGGCCUACCAAGGCGACGACGGGUAGCUGGUCUGAGAGGAUGGCCAGCCACAUUGGGACUGAGACACGGCCCAGACUCCUACGGGAGGCAGCAGUGGGGAAUAUUGCGCAAUGGACGAAAGUCUGACGCAGCGACGCCGCGUGUGGGAUGACGGUCUUCGGAUUGUAAACCACUGUCGGGAGGGACGAAUACGCCGCAAGGCGGGUGACGGUACCUCCAAAGGAAGCACCGGCUAACUCUGUGCUAGCAGCCGCGGUAAUACGGAGGGUGCGAGCGUUGUCC
rnacentral:rRNA from 1 species